rnacentral:tRNA from 2 species
GGAGAGGUGGCCGAGUGGUUGAAGGCGCCUGUCUUGAAAACAGGUUACCCGCAAGGGUACGCAGGUUCGAAUCCUGUCCUCUCCG